rnacentral:rRNA from 1 species
GACAGAGGGUGCAAACGUUGCUCGGAACUACUGGGCGUAAAGCGCGUGUAGGCUGACCGGAAAGUCGGGCGUGAAAUCCCUGGGCUCAACCCAGGAACUGCACUCGAAACUCCCGGUCUUGAGUGGUGGAGAGGGAAGUGGAAUUCCUGGUGUAGAGGUGAAAUUCGUAGAUAUCAGGAGGAACACCAGUGGCGAAGGCGGCUUCCUGGACACAAACUGACGCUGAGACGCGAAAGCGUGGGGAGCAAACAGG